GAUGAACGCUGGCGGCGUGCCUAAUACAUGCAAGUCGAGCGAACAGACGAGGAGCUUGCUCCUCUGACGUUAGCGGCGGACGGGUGAGUAACACGUGGAUAACCUACCUAUAAGACUGGGAUAACUUCGGGAAACCGGAGCUAAUACCGGAUAAUAUAUUGAACCGCAUGGUUCAAUAGUGAAAUACGGUUUUGCUGUCACUUAUAGAUGGAUCCGCGCCGCAUUAGAUAGUUGGUAAGGUAACGGCUUACCAAGGCAACGAUGCGUAGCCGACCUGAGAGGGUGAUAGGCCACACUGGAACUGAGACACGGUCCAGACUCCUACGGGAGGCAGCAGUAGGGAAUCUUCCGCAAUGGGCGAAAGCCUGACGGAGCAACGCCGCGUGAGUGAUGAAGGUCUUCGGAUCGUAAAACUCUGUUAUUAGGGAAGAACAAAUGUGUAAGUAACUAUGCACGUCUUGACGGUACCUAAUCAGAAAGCCACGGCUAACUACGUG
rnacentral:rRNA from 1 species